rnacentral:rRNA from 1 species
GAUGAACGCUGGCGGCGUGCUUAACACAUGCAAGUCGAACGGACGGGCUCCUGCUUGCCGGGUUUCUCGAGUGCCGAACGGGGGAGUAACGCGUGGGUGAACUGCCCUGCACUUCGGGAUAAGCCUGGGAAACUGGGUCUAAUACCGGAUAGGACGAUGGUUUGCAUGCCGUUGUGGAAAGUUUUUCCGGUGUGGGGUGAGUUCGCGGCGUAUCCGCUUGUCAGUGGGGUAAUGGCCUACCAAGGCCUUGCCUGGUAGCCGGCCCUAGGGGGGGUACGGGCACAUUGGGACUGAGGGACGGCCCAGACUCCUACGGGAGGCAGCAGUGGGGAGUAUUGCACAAUGGGCGCAAGCCUGAUGCAGCGACGCUGCGUGGGGGAUGACGGCCUUCGGGUGGUAAACUUCUGUCGCUAGAGACGAAGCGCAAGUGACGGUACCUGGAGAAGAAGCACCGGCUAACUACGUG